rnacentral:rRNA from 1 species
AGAACGAACGUUGGCGGCGUGGAUUAGGCAUGCAAGUCGAACGAAUCCCAUCUGGGCAACUGGGUGGGGGAAGUGGCGAAAGGGGCAGUAAGGCGUGGGUAACCUACCCCGGGGACGGGCAUAGCCGUCCUAACGGACGGGUAAUUCCUGGCGAUUCGGCGGAGGGGCAUCUCUCUGCCGGGAAAUGAGUUUCGCCUCGGGAGGGGCUCACGUAGUAUUAGCUGGUUGGUGGGGUGACGGCCUACCAAGGCGAAGAUGCUUAGCGGGUGUGAGAGCACGACCCGCGCCACUGGCACUGCGACACUGGCCAGACUCCUACGGGAGGCUGCAGUCGAGGAUCUUCGGCAAUGGGCGCAAGCCUGACCGAGCGACGCCGCGUGUGCGAAGAAGGCCUUCGGGUUGUAAAGCACUGUCGAGGGAGAAAGCCGCAAGGUUGAUCGACCCCUGGAGGAAGCACGGGCUAAGUCGUGCCAGCAGCCGC